rnacentral:rRNA from 1 species
GCGAGAGUGGCGGACGGGUGAGUAAAGUAUGGGGAUCUGCCGAAUGGAGGGGGACAACUGCUGGAAACGGCAGCUAAUACCGCAUAAAGUUGAGAGACCAAAGCGUGGGACUUUUUAGCCACGCGCCAUUUGAUGAACCCAUAUGGGAUUAGCUUGUUGGUAGGGUAAUGGCUUACCAAGGCGACGAUCUCUAGCUGGUCUGAGAGGAUGACCAGCCACACUGGAACUGAGACACGGUCCAGACUCCUAUGGGAGGCAGCAGUGGGGGAUAUUGCACAAUGGGGGAAACCCUGAUGCAGCCAUGCCGCGUGUAUGAAGAAGGCUUUCGGGUUGUAAAGUACUUUCGGUAAUGAGGAAGGUGUAUUAUCUAACAGGUAAUGCAAUUGACGUUAGUUACAGAAGAAGCACCGGCUAACUCCGUGCCAGCAGCCGCGGUAAUACGGAGGGUGCGAGCGUUAAUCGGAAUAACUGGGCGUAAAGGGCAUGCAGGCGGGUCAUUAAGUUAGGUGUGAAAUCCCCGGGCUCAACCUGGGAACUGCACUUAAAACUGGUGGUCUGGAGUAUUGUAGAGGAAGGUAGAAUUCCACGUGUAGCGGUGAAAUGCGUAGAGAUGUGGAGGAAUACCGGUGGCGAAGGCGGCCUUCUGGACAAAUACUGACGCUGAGAUGCGAAAGCGUGGGGAGCAAACAGGAUUAGAUACCCUGGUAGUCCACGCUGUAAACGAUGUCGAUUUGGAGUUUGGUGGCAUGA